rnacentral:rRNA from 1 species
UGGGGAAUAUUGCGCAAUGGGCGAAAGCCUGACGCAGCGACGCCGCGUGGGUGAUGAAGGCCUUCGGGUCGUAAAGCCCUGUCGGGAGGGACGAAACCUCGGCGACCUAAUAUGUCGUCGACCUGACGGUACCUCCGAAGGAAGCACCGGCUAACUCCGUGCCAGCAGCCGCGGUAAUACGGAGGGUGCGAGCGUUGUUCGGAAUCACUGGGCGUAAAGCGCGUGUAGGCGGCCUUGUAAGUCUGGUGUGAAAGCCCGGGGCUUACCCCCGGAAGUGCACUGGAAACUGCAAGGCUGGAGUACCGGAGAGGAAGGUGGAAUUCCUGGUGUAGCGGUGAAAUGCGUAGAUAUCAGGAGGAACACCGGUGGCGAAGGCGGCCUUCUGGACGGAUACUGACGCUGAGACGCGAAAGCGUGGGGAGCAAACAG